AACGAACGCUGGCGGCAGGCCUAACUCAUGCAAGUCGAGCGAGGACUUCGGUCCUAGCGGCGGACGGGUGAGUAACGCGUGGGAACGUGCCCUUUGCUUCGGAAUAGCCCUGGGAAACUGGGAGUAAUACCGGAUGAGCCCUUUGGGGGAAAGAUUUAUCGGCGAAGGAUCGGCCCGCGUUGGAUUAGGUAGUUGGUGGGGUAAUGGCCUACCAAGCCGACGAUCCAUAGCUGGUUUGAGAGGAUGAUCAGCCACACUGGGACUGAGACACGGCCCAGACUCCUACGGGAGGCAGCAGUGGGGAAUCUUAGACAAUGGGGGAAACCCUGAUCUAGCCAUGCCGCGUGAGCGAUGAAGGCCUUAGGGUUGUAAAGCUCUUUCAGCUGGGAAGAUAAUGACGGUACCAGCAGAAGAAGCCCCGGCUAACUCCGUG
rnacentral:rRNA from 1 species